rnacentral:rRNA from 1 species
UUCGGUGGCUAUAGCGAGGGAGUAACACCCGUUCCCAUUCCGAACACGGAAGUAAAGCCCCUCAGCGCCAAUGGUACUGCUCUGGUAACGGGGUGGGAGAGUAGGACGCCGCCGAUU